UACGGAGGGGGCUAGCGUUGUUCGGAAUUACUGGGCGUAAAGCGCACGUAGGUGGCUUUGUAAGUUAGAGGUGAAAGCCCGGGGCUCAACCCCGGGUCGGCCGUGCGAACUGGUGGACUGGAGCUUGUCAGAGGCAGGCGGAAUUCCGGGUGUAGCGGUGGAAUGCGUAGAGAGUCCGGAAGAACAUCGGUGGCGAAGGCGGCCUGCUGGGCAGUAGCUGACGGCUGAGGCGCGACAGCGUGGGGAGCAAACAGG
rnacentral:rRNA from 1 species